CACCCUUUUGGAGGCAAAGCGACGUGAAGAAAGGCCAAGGCAGGAAUUUGGCCAAAAGUAACAGAGCAACAGAGCUACUGGAGAAGGUUAACUGCAAAGAAAGAAACGGUUAACAGCAAGGCAGAAAAAUCCAUAAAAGGCUACUUGAGUUUUAGCUUCAGUCAAUAAGAGAACAAGCUCUUAUGGUGGUUGAUGACAAUGGACGGCUUUAGUAAAUCAUCAUUUUAC